rnacentral:rRNA from 1 species
UAUGCAGGCUCGGCAGCGGAGCAAGAUGUGGUAGCUUGUCUCCCUGAUGUUGAGACGGCGGACGGGUUGAGUAACACGUUCGUGGUAACCUGCCUGUAAGCACUGGGAUGAACUCCGGGAAACCGGGGCUAAUACCGGAUGGUUGUUUGAACCGCAUGGUCUCAAACAUAAUAAUGGUGGCUUCUGGCUACCACUUACAGAUGGACCCGUCGGCGCAUUGAUGCUAGUUUGGGUGAAGGUAACGGGCUCACCAAGGCAUACGAUGCGUUAGUCCGACCUGAGAGGGUGAUCGGCCAUCACUGGAGACUGACGACACGGCCCAGACUCCUACGGGAUGUAUCAGUGCGGACUGCCACCGUCCGUUUUGAGCAUAGACAAUAA